rnacentral:rRNA from 1 species
GAAGGGAUCGCGUACGUGACCUGCGGAGGGAUCAUUACACAAAUAUGAAGGCGGGCUGGAACCUCUCGGGGUUACAGCCUUGCUGAAUUAUUCACCCUUGUCUUUUGCGUACUUCUUGUUUCCUUGGUGGGUUCGCCCACCACUAGGACAAACAUAAACCUUUUGUAAUUGCAAUCAGCGUCAGUAACAAAUUAAUAAUUACAACUUUCAACAACGGAUCUCUUGGUUCUGGCAUCGAUGAAGAACGCAGCGAAAUGCGAUAAGUAGUGUGAAUUGCAGAAUUCAGUGAAUCAUCGAAUCUUUGAACGCACAUUGCGCCCUUUGGUAUUCCAAAGGGCAUGCCUGUUCGAGCGUCAUUUGUACCCUCAAGCUUUGCUUGGUGUUGGGCGUCUUGUCUCUAGCUUUGCUGGAGACUCGCCUUAAAGUAAUUGGCAGCCGGCCUACUGGUUUCGGAGCGCAGCACAAGUCGCACUCUCUAUCAGCAAAGGUCUAGCAUCCAUUAAGCCUUUUUUUCAACUUUUGACCUCGGAUCAGGUAGGGAUACCCGCUGAACUUA